rnacentral:rRNA from 1 species
AGACGUCUACAUUAGACUACCCCCGUAGUCCAGGGUAGUAAACGCUGCAGACUUGGUGUUGGAACCCUUCGGGGGUGUCCAGUGCCGGAGAGAAGUUGUUAAGUCUGCUACUUGGGGAGUACGUCCGCAAAGGAUGAAACUUAAAGGAAUUGGCGGGGGAGCACCGCAACGGGAGGAGCGUGCGGUUUAAUUGGAUUCAACGCCGAAAAACUCACCAGCAGCGACUGUUACAUGAAAGUCAGGUUGAUGACCUUACUAGAUUUUCAG